rnacentral:lncRNA from 1 species
GCCGAGUGUGGUCACCCAAAGCAAUUUGCCUCUGCGCUUGGCUCUCAGUCAGCCCUAGGAGGAGAGGUUUGGCAGGGGUGGUCCUUGGCAAGGUCCUUCAGGGAGCUGCAGGGGACCCUGAGUCUGGUUAGCCAAUCACAUGCCUCCCAGCUGCUGGACCUGACAGAGAUGGGGUUUCGCCAUGUUGCCCAGGAGGGCCUCAACUCCUGGGCUCAAGUGAUCUGCUCCCCACACACCACCGCCUCGGCCUCCCAAAGUGCUGGGAUGACAGGAGCCUCUCUUUCCACCAGCGGAGGAGGAGACAGAUGCCUUCCAGCUGCUGGCUGGUCCCCAGGACCCCACUGCCACUGAGAGCUGACGAGUGGUCGAGUGCACGCAAGUAUGUGCAGCUUGGAGAGGUGCAGUGACGUGCCUGAGGUCUACGGCCCCAAAUGGCAGAUGAGGGGCUCAAUUCCAGGCUUGUCUGUGGGGUGCCCUCCCUGGACACAAGGACUGCCAACCCUGUGUGAAUGUGAGCCUCAUGAAGGAGACAGGUGAGAAGCCUGAGUGCUGGUGGCUGUAGGCUGCUAAACUGUAAAUACAGAUAAUGUCCAAAGCACUGGUGGCUGUGAGCUCCUCAACUGUAAAUACAAAUAACGUCCAAA